CUGCUAAAUCCCCGUUUGGAUUUGCGGAGUGUACAAACAUGGACGAGUAACGCUAAGUAUAGCUGGGAGGAGGAAAGACAAAGUGUGAGGAAACAGGCUGGUUCAACUUCAUCCGAACACCCUAAGUGGGUCACAGAGAUGUCCCCACUUUCUUUCCAAAUAAAAGUAAUGAAAACUUUUUAGUGUACCCACAAUCCAUUACUACAACCCUCUCGAAUUCUCCUUUUUGUGUUUUCAUGAUGGUCACCAAAACUGAACCCCAACAUCCUUCCCACUGUUCAUAAGGCGACUACUUAAAGUCAUGGUUGACGUUUGGAGAGAUUGGUAGUUAUUAUGAACCUCGUUUCUAUGGCGAUCAUGGUCCUAUUGUGCGAUCUCCGCAAAGUGAAGAGAAAAAAGAACGGAAAAAAUCUGUUCACCCUAUCAGGUGCAGGGCUGCAAAAACACUGACCAAUGGGAGCCAUUCAUCCCAGAUAGCUCCUAUUGGUCAAUCUCCUGCUCCGCCUAUCCAUCCAAUCACCUCGCUGUAUUCGACACACCCCCCUCCGCAGUUCCGACUCCCCCCCCAUUUCCUGGCCCUUCUCGGAGAUCUGGGCGGCUAAAAGUAGCGACAGAAGAAAGGGCGGAGUCAAAGAGGAAACGUGAACAAGCGAGGAAUCUAACUGGAAUAAACAUCGGGUCAUCCUUUGAGCGGUCGCCGGCAGCCAGCGAUCACCUAGUUGCGUCAGGUCGCGGCUGUACAUAGACUUUGCAUUGGAAGUCGUUGCUCAAGACGCCGAGGUUGCGUUUGGUCUGAACGCGGCUUUAGUCAUGAAAAUCAAAAACAGUACGAUGGCGGGAAUGACGAUUUCACCCAUUCAUGACCUGCACUUUUCACGUGUUGACGUCAGAUGCCCGCCGGCCAAAUGACCAAUCAAUGUAAACUACAGAGACACGCAAAACACGUAGUUGAUGAUGAUAUCUUGUAGGUUCGUCAUGUAAAGUCUGUUUGUCCGUUUGCAAUAAUGACAGUGUGAGACCUAAACAGACCGAACAAACAAAAACACGGACCUCCAGACUUUCAGGUGUGAAAACACCUUUAGAUUCAGCCCUAAAAAUUUGCAUCAUAAUACAGACCCUGAGGUUUUCUUGACUUUUGGAGAGAGCCUCAUGUGGACAUCCAGGGAACUACAGUUUUGUGACUUGCCUUUAACACCUUUUCACUUCUAUAAAACUCCAAAAGAGCGCUCAGACAACAGAGAAUUUGCACCAUAUGACGCAUUUGUCAGAUUAAACAUUAAUUAUUAAAAAUACGGAUGAUUAAUGUCUGAUAUGUGAAUUAUUGAGAUAUAAACUUUGGCUGAAUUUUCCCCAAGGAAGUUUUUUCACAUCUCUGCUAAAAAAUCAGCAGGAAGAUAAAACCAGGAGUCUGUUAGGUGACGUGAUAAAACUCCUCAAAGUUUAUCGUGAAAAAGUUUUUGUACUAUUUUCCUUAUUUGACUGUUUUUGACAGUGAACGACAUGAAAUUCCAGUUUGUCCCCACACUCAGCCCUAACUCGAGAUCUGCAGUAGAAUAAUCAUCUCCCUCCGUGUCCUCUCUACCUUCACUGCCUCAGGUGGUGUGUUUAGAUCCUCUGGAUUAAUGAAGCGAAUACCGCUGGACUCGGCUCUUUUCCUCUUAUUUUUCCUCCGUCUUCAUUUAUUUUUCCACUCGCUCCUCCCCCUCCUGUCCUUCAUCCUCUCUUCCUCCUGAGCUGAUCCUUUGUAUUUUAUUUUAUCUUUUUUAUUUAUUCUCUCCCCUCGGGUCACUUGUGUUCUGCAGCUUUUCCAGCCUUCACUUUCUGUUUGGUGAACCUCCACAUCUUCGUCCCUCUCGCUGCCUGAGGCUCUGCAGCUGGGAAUGAAUAAGCACGGUGACCUUUGACCUACACUCACUAAUCAAACAUCCACCACGACAUAAAAAAUCACAUCUUCUGGAACUUACAAUAUACAUAAUUUAUAAGAGCGAAUUUAAAUGAAGGCAGCAGGACAUUUUUAAUGUCAAUGUAAUGAAAAAAAAACAGGCUUUCUGCCUAUAAAUACAGAUAUAUGCUGAACAUGAAGUCAUUCUCCAGCCAAACAACCAGCAGACAGUCAGAGAAAAAAUGUCCCCCACACUGUUUCUAUAGUCCACCCAAUGAGAAAACAAAGUAGGGCUGCAGUCAUCAAAUAUUUUAGUACAGUGACCAUACGUCCUCUUUUACCCGGACAUGUCCUCUUUUUUGGAUGCCAUACGGGUUUGUCAGGUGAAUUUUAUAAAACCCCUCAAAUGUCCGCGAUUUUGUACAUAAGUUUCAAUUUUGUGUCGCGUGGACUUCCUGAGUUAGAGGCCCAUAAAAGACACUCGAUCCCACCUGGAAAAAUGUCAAAAUUAAAGGUGGGGUAAUCAGGAUCUGAGAAAGUUCCAGUUUUUAGGAGAAAUCUUGAAUGUAAACUCCACCCCUCCCAACCAGUUUUCCCCUCAGCUCCUCCUCUCCCCUCCCUCUCUGCUCCAUCAAGCCCCGCCCACAAACAGACGUUCCUGCUCGCUCGUAUCGUUCCAAUUAAAUUCAGGUAUAAUGCAGAUAAAUACUUCAGAUAAUUACAAUGGGGGCCAGUCAAGGUGAAAGUAAAAAGCAUUGGUGCUACUGUAGAUGCCAACAGACUACCAGAUAUCAUUAUAUCUCCAAAUAUCAUAAAUAACUAAUAACUAUUGACUGAUAUUAAAAGCUUUAUUGUAUUUACACUACAAAAAAAGAUGCUUCUUUCUCGGAUUCCUGCCUACCCCACCUUUAACUUCGUGUGACUCCACCUCCGCAUAGUCGUGUCCUCUUUUUGGGGAUUCAGAAUGGUCACCCUAUUUUAGAAAUCAGGUAAUCUAUCAUUUAUUCUGGAGAUUCAAUUCUGGUCGAGACUAGACUCUAUUUACAAAGACGGGAUCAGAUCCUCUCCAAUCCCCUAAUCUUCAACCACAUGAGGGAAACACUUUACAGCAUUUGGAGGAGAGGAAGAACUUCCUUCAACAGGCAGAAACCUGAAGGACGACCAGACUGGUGUAAGACAGAUCAAGGUCUCUUUUGUUCAGGUCAUCUGUGAAGGCUUCAUUAAUGCUGAACAACAUCUCCAUGUGGCUCUGAAUGAAAAAAACUGAACCACAUUUUUCCUCCCUGAAGAGUCAGAUAGUCGGUGUAUCUCUCAGUCUGAAUUUACUGAUUAGCCUUCAGCUCUCCUGUUAAAUAUCAGGAUUCAGCCGCUCACGUCCGUCUGAAUUAAGGUCACUUUUUAAUUCAUUCUGUUGCUUUUGGCCAAAUUCUGCGGUAAAAAGAUAAGUUCCCCCUGUUUUAUUUCUUUAUUUCUCAAAACUUUAAUUCUGUCUUUUCUUAUCUCAUUUUUCCUUCUUUUUUAAUUUCAUGUACAGAGCUCCACUCUUCCGUGUUCGUCCACGGCUGUGUCCGGGUUCAGGAGGGGCUCUGAAUACUGUAACUGCAGCAGGUUGGAGUUUGUAUGUUAACAGAUAAAGUACAUAAUCUGAAUGUGUGUGUUUGGUGUGUGUGUGUGUGAGUGUGUGUGUGUGUGUUUGGCAGGUAGUGGGUAGUUAUCAGCUCAGUCCAGCUGCUUCAUGCUCACUAAGCUCUUUACCAGCCAACAAACACACACACAUUCAUCCCUCCACUCUCUCACACAUACACCUCCACCUCCUUCUCUCCCUCCAUCACCGGUUUGACAUCCAAAUUUACAGAAACGCUCACAGGUAGAAAAGUUGCUGUUGUUCGACUCUGAUCUGAACCUGCGGGCAAAAAAGAAGAAGACGGUCGAUAAUGAAAAGACGCGGUGGAGUAACAGUCGUGGUUUACAGCAGCAGGGAUCAGAAAAAUUCAGGCAUUCGUGAUCUUAAACUCCUGAAAAGUCCAGAUGUUGCUAAAUCAACCAGGUACAUCAAAAACAAAUGAACACUGUUGAAACCGUUUUAAUAUUUCCAAUAGUGUUGUGUCGUUCACGAAUGAUUCAAGAUCUGAAAAGCUAAUGGGAUCGUCUUCUACUCCAGAUUUAGGGUUUUGAUUGUCAAUAAAAUGUCCAAAUGUAAAGUAAGAGUGAGAAAACAGCCCUGAGGUGAGUCUGCAGAGACAUGCUGUUAACUUUAACUCCUCGGUGAAAAGUUCAGGGUCCGACUGAGGCCGGGGAGUCUUGGUCCACCUGAAGCUGGCGGUCACUUUGGCUGAAUGGUUUCUAAACCAAUCAAAGAGUUCACACUUCUAUUGAAGCUCUACGUAAAGGUGUGUGUGCGGUCCAAACACACUCCAACGAGUAACGAUCGUGAAUUCAAGAACUACAAAAACCACGAGUCUGAAGUCCGGGUGAUUUUUCCAGGAGGAGCGAAUUGUCCGUGUGAAGAGUGUGAGGAAGAACGUCGACAACCUCAGACUCAGUCAUGUGAAUAAAAGGUUUAUUUUUAUUUACUGAGUGUGUGUGUGUGUGUGCAUGUGUGUGUGUGUGUGUGUGUGUGCUGGCAAUCCACAGAGGAACCUUCGACUUUCUAACACACUGUAUUCCCCGUCUCUGUCUCUCUCUCUCUCUCUCUCUCUAUUCUCCAGUGUGUGUUGCGGUGUGUUUAUGUUCCCAGAGCAGAUUUUCUUUCCGCAUCAUUCAACUCCCCUACAACCAUCAACACACACACACACACACACACACACACACACACACACACACACACACAAGUAGGAAUCUGGGAAGAACCUGGUAACUCUGGUUUUGCUCUUAAACUCACAUAUGAGCAGACGUGGAACAUUUAGGUCAGAAUAAUUAACUCCACCUCCUCGUUACUGAUUCAUUUUCCAUUAAUCAGUGGAUCAGGUAUAGUCCGGAUAGAUCCUUGACCAACCUGGACCCGUUUGACCACUAAUGGCUAUUUUUCUGGCGCAGGAAUCAAGUGAACCGUCACUCUCUUUGGACUGCACCACCGGACUUUAAAGCCUCAUCAAACCAAAGCUAGAAGACAGAACGGGCCGGACUUGUGUGGUUUAAAAACAGGGACUGAAGUCUGAACAGGUGAACACAUCGAACAGGGAGCGGGGAGGGUCAAAAGUUCAAGAAAAGAGGUCAAGAUAUGGUCCAGGAAGUAAGGGUUCACAUGUUUUUACCUCACAUUGUUCCCGGUUCAGCCCCCGUCCAGCAGCUGUUCAUCAUCCUCCCGAGCGGUCAUCUCGCCCAAGGCUUCAAACCUGCAGGAGAGCGAAGUGAAUCUGCAACUUAAAAGCCAAACAGCUCAAUCUUUUGUCAGAAAUAUUUACCUGUUUUUACGUAUUUUAAUUUGAGUCGGUUAAAAGUCUUCAGGUUGUGCUCUGAAAUGGACAUCAGCGGCUCGGUUCACCCUAAAGACAGAAACGUAAACCAAAGACGUAGAGGAGAUUGAAAUAUGUUAAUGCCGCCUGAUUAAUCGACGGGAUUAAACUCAUAUCAAAGACGUGAGAUGGCUCUCACACAGAUCCAGUAAAUGACGGACUGCUUCUUUAACUUCCUCCUAGAUUAAAGAUUUUCUCUCUUUUUUUCUUAUCUCUGUUCUGCCUGAAAUCCAGUUCCAACAAAUCUGAAGAAUUAAGAUUACAAAUCAUCCAGCUGGACCUAACCUUGGUAACUAGCAGCCCGAGGCCGCAGAGAUUUACUGAGUCGAACUGUCAGAUAAAAAAAAACAUUCAGCCGUCUCUUUUUUUCUUCCUGGACCCUCCUUCUGAAAUCAUCUCUUCAUUUGCGGGAUAUCGAGGGAUACAGUGACAGAUUCUGACUCCUGACCUCCUUUCAGGCAGAUCAUCACACUGCCGAUCUGGGAAAUAAGGGCGUCUCUGCUUCCACGCCGCUUUGGAUUGACUCCGCUGUGAGAGUCCCUCAGAAGGUGGUCUGUGUUUUUAAUCCCAAAUCAUCUGAGUCAGCUGAGGUUCAGGAUUAUAAAUAUUUGUGCUUCACAUUCUGCAGGGAUUACAACAGCAUAGCUCUGUAGGAGAAGAGUCCUGCUGAGAAACCAGACUGAUGCGGUCCAGAACGGCUGCAAUCUUUCGUCUUCCGCCAAUUCCAACCGGAUCCAUUUGUGAGGCAAAUUUCAUGGCGGAUUGCGGACAGCAGAAUCCCGAGAACUCACAAGAACCCGCAGAUUCACGUGCAAUCAUGCGAUAACAAGUUGUCUUAAGCCACAUAAUCUACCCAUAUAAUCAGUAGAAUGUGAAACUAUCUGUAACUGCAGUGCACUACAGGAAGUGUUGGGGGCAGUAUCGCUCGCUGGAAACCGAGAAGAAGAAUGUACAAAUUAUGGCCGAACAAACAAACAAAGAGGCUUAAAAACUCUGACCCAAAGUUUCCGAAGUUUGGAAACAUUUCACUGAAAAUAAACCAGCGACACACAUUAAUUGCAGUCUCAAUGAAGCUCAAC
rnacentral:lncRNA from 1 species